UAGGGAAUCUUCCACAAUGGGCGCAAGCCUGAUGGAGCAACACCGCGUGAGUGAAGAAGGGUUUCGGCUCGUAAAGCUCUGUUGUUGGAGAAGAACGUGCGUGAGAGCAACUGUUCACGCAGUGACGGUAUCCAACCAGAAAGUCACGGCUAACUACGUGCCAGCAGCCGCGGUAAUACGUAGGUGGCAAGCGUUAUCCGGAUUUAUUGGGCGUAAAGCGAGCGCAGGCGGUCGCUUAGGUCUGAUGUGAAAGUCUUCGGCUUAACCGAAGAAGUGCAUCGGAAACCGGGCGACUUGAGUGCAGAAGAGGACAGUGGAACUCCAUGUGUAGCGGUGGAAUGCGUAGAUAUAUGGAAGAACACCAGUGGCGAAGGCGGCUGUCUGGUCUGCAACUGACGCUGAGGCUCGAAAGCAUGGGUAGCGAACAG
rnacentral:rRNA from 1 species